UGGGGAAUUUUGGACAAUGGGCGAAAGCCUGAUCCAGCCAUGCCGCGUGUGUGAAGAAGGCCUUCGGGUUGUAAAGCACUUUCGGACGGAACGAAAUCGCGCGGUCUAAUACAUCGCGUGGAUGACGGUACCGUAAGAAGAAGCACCGGCUAACUACGUGCCAGCAGCCGCGGUAAUACGUAGGGUGCGAGCGUUAAUCGGAAUUACUGGGCGUAAAGUGUGCGCAGGCGGCCGCGCAAGUCGAGUGUGAAAGCCCCGGGCUUAACUUGGGAAUUGCGCUCGAAACUACGUGGCUGGAGUAUGGCAGAGGAAGGUGGAAUUCCACGUGUAGCGGUGAAAUGCGUAGAGAUGUGGAGGAACACCGAUGGCGAAGGCAGCCUUCUGGGCCAAUACUGACGCUCAUGCACGAAAGCGUGGGGAGCAAACAGGAUUAGAUACCC
rnacentral:rRNA from 1 species